GACGAACGCUGGCGGCGUGCUUAACACAUGCAAGUCGAGCGAUGAAGUUCCUUCGGGAACGGAUUAGCGGCGGACGGGUGAGUAACACGUGGGUAACCUGCCUCAUAGAGGGGAAUAGCCUUUCGAAAGGAAGAUUAAUACCCCAUAAGAUUGUAGUACCGCAUGGUAUAGCAAUUAAAGGAGUAAUCCGCUAUGAGAUGGACCCGCGUCGCAUUAGCUAGUUGGUGAGGUAACGGCUCACCAAGGCGACGAUGCGUAGCCGACCUGAGAGGGUGAUCAGCCACAUUGGGACUGAGACACGGCCCAGACCCGUACGGGAGGCAGCAGUGGGGAAUAUUGCACAAUGGGGGAAACCCUGAUGCAGCAACGCCGCGUGAGUGAUGACGGUCUUCGGAUUGUAAAACUCUGUCUUCAGGGACGAUAAUGACGGUACCUGAGGAGGAAGCCACGGCUAACUACGUGCCAGCAGCCGCCGUAA
rnacentral:rRNA from 1 species